rnacentral:rRNA from 1 species
AGAGUUUGAUCCUGGCUCAGAUUGAACGCUGGCGGCAGGCCUACACAUGCAAGUCGAGCGGAUGACGGGAGCUUGCUCCUUGAUUCAGCGGCGGACGGGUGAGUAAUGCCUAGGAAUCUGCCUGGUAGUGGGGGACAACGUUUCGAAAGGAACGCUAAUACCGCAUACGUCCUACGGGAGAAAGCAGGGGACCUUCGGGCCUUGCGCUAUCAGAUGAGCCUAGGUCGGAUUAGCUAGUUGGUGGGGUAAUGGCUCACCAAGGCGACGAUCCGUAACUGGUCUGAGAGGAUGAUCAGUCACACUGGAACUGAGACACGGUCCAGACUCCUACGGGAGGCAGCAGUGGGGAAUAUUGGACAAUGGGCGAAAGCCUGAUCCAGCCAUGCCGCGUGUGUGAAGAAGGUCUUCGGAUUGUAAAGCACUUUAAGUUGGGAGGAAGGGCAGUAAGCUAAUACCUUGCUGUUUUGACGUUACCGACAGAAUAAGCACCGGCUAACUCUGUGCCAGCAGCCGCGGU